UGCCAGCUGCAGGUUGGUCUGAUCUCUCUCCUCCACCUCUUGGCUCUUCUGGUCGUAGUUGACGGCGAGCUCCUCCAGCGCCUGCAGCACCUCCUUCACCUCCUCCUUGGUCAGCUGGUUCUCCGUUUGCAGCCGGCACAGCUCCUCCUGGGAGGGACGUGGGGUCAGAUCUAUUCUUGUCUUCCAGCUGUUUGUACAGGUUGCUGAUGUCCUCCUCGUAUUUGCUCCGCUCGUGGCAACAAUAUUAUUUGACUUUUCUUUCACAAAGCUGAACUGUACCUGUAGGUCUGUCUUGAUGAGCGAGGCUCCUGCUUGGACCAGAUAAUGACAGAUAGUUCUUUGACACAGGGACG